GGUGUGGCCACCAAUUGGAAAGAAGAAGUUUGAGACUCUCUCUUACCUUCCUGACCUUACCGAAGUUGAAUUGGCUAAGGAAGUUGACUACCUUCUCCGCAACAAGUGGAUUCCCUGUGUUGAAUUCGAGUUGGAGGUAAUAAAAAUCGAAAAUCAUAUACAUAAAUAUUUAGAGUAGCUUGACCAUAUGAAUCUUGCAACGAUCUUAAAACUGUUUAGAGGUCCUAUGCAGAAUCUUGAUUUAUAUGUACAUAUUUGAAAUGUUCUUGAAUGGUUUUUGUAAUGUGUUUUGUAGAACGGGUUUGUGCACCGUGAGCACGGAAGCACUCCCGGAUACUACGAUGGACGUUACUGGACAAUGUGGAAGCUUCCUUUGUUCGGAUGCACUGACUCAGCUCAAGUGUUGAAGGAAGUGCAAGAGUGCAAGAAGGAGUACCCCCAGGCCUUCAUUAGGAUCAUCGGAUUCGACAACACCCGUCAAGUCCAGUGCAUCAGUUUCAUCGCCUACAAGCCACCAAGCUUCACCGAUGCUUAAGUCACUUUCUCUUAAAUCAUUCAUAUAAUAUUCUCAUUUGCAUUUCCAAUUGUCUCUGUUUCUUUUUUUCUUGGAUUUCUGUUUCUGAGACAUUUUCUAUCGAUCGGAUUGUCAAAAUGUCUGAUUUAUGAAUAUGUAAUUUAUGUUUCCCUCUUCUCCUUCUUGCUUAUUUUCUGAUGGUUAUUAGUUUUUAAAAAAUUACUGGGAUAAGGAAACAGACAAAAUCACGUCACACAAAGAAAGGUUGGAUAGUGUUAGUGGUAAUUUGUUAUAGGAAUAGGAAAACAUUAUUACCUAAAGAGCUUAGAUUUCAUAUGAAUAAUUAGUUCAUCAAAUAUUCAAAUAAGAAUCAUUGUAUCAUUUUAUUUUUGGAUGUCACAAUCACACAGUAUAAUAUGUACUUGUAGAUUUAUUAUAGAUUUCAAUCAUUUCAUAAAAUAGUCAUCUUUUGAUGUUUCACACUUCUUACGUGGAGUUUAUGAUAUGAUUUAUACCUAUACUCCAAAUUACUGGUAAACUAUCAUUGGAAUAUACGAUACACUAUAUAUACAUAUAUAUCAUAUAUAUAUAUAUUUACUCUAGAUACUAAUGACAUAUGUCAAUAGUUUUAGUAUGAAAAGCUAACUUGAGUUUUUUUUUUUAAAUACUAUUAUAGUAAAAAAAAAUUAUAGAAAGAAUGUAUGUAAAUUCCAGUUCAUACACGGAUUUAAUAUUUCAAAGGAAAGGAUGGUCCACUUGAAAUCUGUGAUAGACACUUUUGUGGACGGUGCAAUACAUAAGAUAGGCUUGUGGAUAAGAGUGAAAAUUCCCUUCUAUAAUUUUCUUAGUGAUCUUUAAUCCAUGCGAAUCAUGCGUGUCAUUCUGCUAUUAGUGUAUAGUAAGUUCAUCGACUUUAUGAAACCGUAAGAAAUCGUCAAUUUAGUUAGUUACGAAAACAUGUUUUUAAUGACUCUUUCAUAAAAUUUUGGAUUUUUAGUAUAAUAAGUUAUUGGUUGCUAGCGAAUGCAUAGAAAUGCACAAUGUACUCAAAAGAUUGGAGAUAAAACAAAAACUCCAAAUUGACUUAGUAAGGCCAAAAAUGAAAUAUAAAAUCAUAUUAACAAAAAAAAGGGGAAAAUAUGGCUCUUUGGUUCUUAUAUAUUAAAUGCAGGCCGAAAAAAUAGAUGAACGUUUAAAGUCUGUAAAUUAAAAUGGAAAUGAAAAAUUGGUUUAUUGUUCUGGAGACGCAAAAAUUUAGUGUAUUAAAAUGGUAAUAGAAAUUUAGUUUUUAUAUCAUUAUGGAGUUUUCUAAGUCCUUUCGCGAUUAUCACUUCCACAUCCGGUUCUUUACUUUUUGCUAGAAUGUCAGUGAACCUAAAAUCUACUGCAUUGAUCAUGCAUUAACCAUUAAAUGACAUCCAAAAACAUAUGCUGAUCUUUUGGCCAUUAAACGAUUAAACGGUAUACUUAUUAAGUUUAUCAAGAAGACAAGAGUGAGCGGCCAUUACACGGCACCCAAUAUAAUGAUGUCUUUACCAAUCACGUACAUCAUGCAUGCCUUGUAAUGAAUACUACUCCCUCUGUUCAGAAUUAUUUGAUGUUUAAAGUUUUUGCACACAGUUUAAGGAUUCAUUUAAUUUUUAUUUUUUCUAUACUAAAAAAUAUAAUUUAUAAUCUAUUUAAGUAUCAUUCAGCCAAUAAAAAGACAUUCUGCAAAAUAUAAAAUGUCAAAAAUUAUAAAAAUUCAAUAAAUUUUGCAUUAAAAAGUGAAAACAUCAAAUAAUUCUGAACAAAAAAACCUUCUAAAACAUCAAAUAAUUCUGAACAGAGGGAGUAUUAUUUAUAACAUGAUCUAACCAUUAGUUAUUUACAGUCCAUUGAUCCUCAUCCCACUAACAUUUCGAAAUAUUAUACGAAGUAAAACUAUAUUUCUGAUUCUGUUAUAUAAUAUGUGUUGUACUUUUUAAGUUCAUGUCUAAUUAUUGUCUGUUUUGGAUUCAAAUGGUAAAAUCCAUAUGAAUAUAUUUUUGAAUUCCUUCCCAAAAUGGGUUUUACUAAUUACUAUUAGACAUAAUUUAUAUAUUAGAUAUUCUUUGUCUAAAUUUCAAAUGUGAGAUCUUAAAUUAAUUGAUUCCCAACAAUCAUUUUCUCAAAAACCAUGGAUCACACAAACCAUUAGCCUCCAACCUCUAGUGAAACCUGGGGCAUCCAUCUUGUACUACCGUAUGCACCAACAAAACUCUUCACAUAAUCUUUACACAACCGUUAGAAAUAUUUUUCACACAAGGAACCGGCACCCCUAAUCGCGAGGUCAUCAUAAAUGUUUUUUCUCCCACAACGAAUAUUCAGCCCACACCCACUUGUCUAAGUCCACAUUUUCCAAAACCUCCAUCUAAAAACCAAUUCUUGGGCUUUUUAAGUCCAUGCCCAAGUAGCAAAUCUCGCAUGGAUAUGUUUUUGUACCCCUUCCCAAAAAGCCUCAUACUAAUUACUGUUGGACAUUGCUUAGAUACCGAAUAAUAUUUGCUUAAAAAUUUUCAAUGUGGGAUUUUGGAUUGAUUCCCAACAAUCAUCCUCUUAAACCAAGGAGCACACAAAACCUUGG
rnacentral:lncRNA from 1 species